UACGUAGGUCCCGAGCGUUGUCCGGAUUUAUUGGGCGUAAAGCGAGCGCAGGUGGUUUAUUAAGUCUGGUGUAAAAGGCAGUGGCUCAACCAUUGUAUGCAUUGGAAACUGGUAGACUUGAGUGCAGGAGAGGAGCGUGGAAUUCCAUGUGUAGCGGUGAAAUGCGUAGAUAUAUGGAGGAACACCGGUGGCGAAAGCGGCUCUCUGGCCUGUAACUGACACUGAGGCUCGAAAGCGUGGGGAGCAAACAGG
rnacentral:rRNA from 1 species